UCCGUCAUGCAAUCAGCAGGGGGAGGGGUAGCGGGCAAAGCCACAGAGGAAAGAAACCCUCCCCAGCACUGCAAGAGAUGAAACGUUCCCCGUUUUUCAAUCUAAACAAAUUCAUUGACCACACAACAAACCUAAUCCUGGAGGAAGUCAAGAGAAAGGGGGCGGGGGUCUGGUUUUCACCCCAGGCCCACCUGCUGACAGGAAGACUGGGCAGAACUCACUGGCAACUGGCUUUUUCGCCAGAGACCUUGUGGCAAGGCUACACAGCAGAUAAGCAGUAUGGUUGGCCGCAGCCUUUGCUCCGUUUAACACCGUUGGAAAGGAGCAAGUUUGUCGUCCUGUCUACUGUCUGUCAUUCAGCCCUGGAGACCCCACAGCCAGCAUUAGCCAAGACACCUUGAGUUUCCCAAGGCUACUGAACUGAUUUCUAAGCAAAUGGGUGUUGGCUAUAUGGUUCUGGUGACGAUAUCCUCACGCCGUGGACAGCAGGGCUGGCCUUUCGGAGGCAGCAGCAAGGGACCUUCCUGCCAAGCACCCCACCGAGGAAGCAGGGUUUGUCAAGGACUAAAGAAAAUUGGAGAGGGCAGAGAUCCAUGAAGAAAGAGGCGGGAGGAGCUUCUGAUGUAUCCCAGAGAAGUGGGCCUGGGCCAGUAUCACACAGGACAUGUGGCCUAGGUAGACUUCAGAUAGAAACGGAAGUCCUCCUCUUCCUGCCCCCACCACCCUGAGGACGAUCUAGAGGCUGCCCUAGGCUGAGCACCACUUGGAGGCCCUUUGUCAAUAAAGCUCUUUUGUUUCUCCAAUA